UUGCUACUCCCUCCGUCCGAAAAUACUUAUCCUAAAAAUGAAUAAAACAGAUGUAUCUAUAACUAAAAUAAGUCUAGAUACAACCAUUUUGAGGACAAGUAUUUCCUGACGGGGGAAGUACUAU
rfam:Triticum aestivum genome assembly, contig: Triticum_aestivum_CS42_TGACv1_scaffold_503201_6BL